AUUGAACGCUGGCGGCAGGCCUAACACAUGCAAGUCGAACGGGUGGCGGACGGGUGAGGAAUGUCUGUGAAACUGGCUGAUGGAGGUGGAUAACUACAGCAAACGGUAAUUAAUCAUGCAUACCAUCAGAUCUGCCCAGAUUGGAUUAGCUAGUAGGUGGGGUAACGGCUUACCAAGGCGACGAUCCCUAGCUGGUCUGAGAGGAUGAUCAGUCACACUGGAACUGAGACACGGUCCAGACUCCUACGGGAGGCAGCAGUGGGGAAUAUUGGACAAUGGGCGAAAGCCUGAUGCAGCCAUGCCGCGUGUAUGAAGAAGGUCUUCGGGUUGUAAAGUACUUUAAGUGGGGAGGCGUUACCAGCAGAAGAAGCACCGGCUAACUCCGUGCCAGCAGCCGCGGUAAUUC
rnacentral:rRNA from 1 species